CAGAUGAGCUCACAGUGCCUGCACUUUACCCCAGUAGCCCUGAAGUGUGGGCCCCGUACCCUCUGUACCCAGCGGAGUUAGCGCCUGCUCUACCUCCUCCUGCUUUCACCUAUCCCGCUUCACUGCAUGCCCAGAUGCGCUGGCUCCCUCCCUCCGAGGCUACUUCUCAGGGCUGGAAGUCCCGUCAGUUCUGCUGAAUAUCAUGUCCCAGGUGUGUGAUGGCGGCUGCAAUCUGUCUUGUGGGUAUUAAUGCAAUCUUCCAUGGUGGCUACUGUUCUCUAGCUGUUCUACAAAACUGGAGCGUGCUGGCUUGAAAAAAACCGUGCCCAGUUUUGAUCCCUUCAAGACUUUGCCACAGCCUCUAUCACACAUCUGUUUUUCUUGAAGAAAAAUAUAUAAUAAAAAUGUUUUACUCUUUUACACUGUAUAAUUGUAAGAAAUAGUGUGUUAUUUGUGAGUGCAUGGUCUGACAUUUCUGUACAGUUUGAAGAUAUUUUCAAACGAAACAUAAAGGAAGUCAACAAUAAAACCAAGAAAGUGAGUAUUUUUAUACCAGACAUUUUAAGUAUUAUGGGAUAGAUGAUCUUACACUGGGUUGGAUCACAAUUUUUGUGCUUGACUUUUGAAUGCCUGUAAUUAAAAAUAUCUAUUUUUUUCCUCU